GACGAACGCUGGCGGCGUGCUUAACACAUGCAAGUCGAGCGGUAAGGCCUUUCGGGGUACACGAGCGGCGAACGGGUGAGUAACACGUGGGUGAUCUGCCCUGCACUUCGGGAUAAGCCUGGGAAACUGGGUCUAAUACCGGAUAUGACCUCCUAUCGCAUGGUGGGUGGUGGAAAGAUUUAUCGGUGCAGGAUGGGCCCGCGGCCUAUCAGCUUGUUGGUGGGGUAAUGGCCUACCAAGGCGACGACGGGUAGCCGACCUGAGAGGGUGACCGGCCACACUGGGACUGAGACACGGACCAGACUCCUACGGGAGGCAGCAGUGGGGAAUAUUGCACAAUGGGCGAAAGCCUGAUGCAGCGACGCCGCGUGAGGGAUGACGGCCUUCGGGUUGUAAACCUCUUUCAGCAGGGACGAAGCGGAAGUGACGGUACCUGCAGAAGAAGCACCGGCUAACUACGUG
rnacentral:rRNA from 1 species